CCCUAUUAUAAUUAGUAUAAAAUUAACUUUGAGUAGUAAAUGUUUUAGGCAGGAAACUUAAAGAAUUUGGCGGUGUGUAUUCUAAUUAGAGGAAUAUGUUUUUUAAUUGAUAAUCCACAAGUAUUUUACCUAAAUUUAUUUAUUUUGUAUAUCUCCGUCUUAAAAAAACUUUUUAAAAUAUUUUUUAUUUUUAAUAAUUUUAAAUAAGUCAGGUCAAGGUGCAGGUUAUAAUUAGGUUAAAAUGUAUUACAAUAAAGUUAUUUUUGGAUAAAAUUUAAAAUGAAUUUUUAAAAUUGGAUUUAUGAGUAAAUUUUUUUAUAUAAUAAUUUAUUGAAUUGUGUUAAUAUACAUGCACACAUC
rnacentral:rRNA from 1 species